UAAUUCUCCAAUGUGCACUCUUCAUCCAUGGAUGAGCUAAGCGGAAUGCAUCUCUCAAAUUCUUCAAUGCAUGCUCCUCGUCCAUAAACAAGCUGAGCAGAAUGCGUCUCUCGAAUUCUCCAAUGCUUGCUGUUCUCAUCUACAGAUAAGCUGAGUGGAAUGCAUAUCCUGAAUUCUCUAACAGACACUCCUCAUCCACA
rnacentral:lncRNA from 1 species